CCUGGUGCUGGUAUGUGCAUCACCUGUGCUUAGCACAGAGGGAAGUAAGACUCAGAGGUUUUACAGAGCUUUAUAAAAUUCACAGGGGGACAGAUCCUACUAUCCUCAAGGCCAGAAGUAUAGAAAUACAACCAUGGUGAGCACAGCAGAGGAACGUCAGCACAGCAAAAUUGUGACACUGUCCCUAUGGAAGAACAACAGCAACAAAACCUGCUGAAACAUGGAAUCACAGAAUCACAGGAUCAAGGAAUUGCCAGAGUUGGAAGGGACCUCUAGAGAUCAUCUAGCCCAGCUCCCCUGCUAAAGCAGCAUCACCCAGAGCACAUUACUCAGGACUGCAUCCAGGUGGGUCUUGAAUAUCUCCAGAGAAGGGGACUCCACAACCUCCCUGGGCAGCCUGUUCCAGUGCUGCAUCACCCUCAGAGUAAAGAAGUUUUUCCUCAUAUUUAAAUGGAACUUCCUACGUUCCAUCUGGUGCCUGUUGGACACAGAUUUAUAGCUCUUUACUUUGUAUCUUGACUUCAGUUCUUAAAAAUGUGCCUGUGCAGCUACUGUCUGCUGUGAUAUAAUUGCAAUACAACUGUCCAAAACCUGUCAGAAUUUGGGUGAUUCUACCAAUAUUAGAACCCUUUUUCUCCAGCAAGCAAGAAAAUAAUUUCUCUUACCAGUUCAUCCCUGCUAAGCAAAAAAUCAGGGCCUUCCAACUCCCAUGGCAGGUCUCACUCAGAGAUACACUUAUACAUGCUGCAGGGCACCAGCCAAGUACCUUUAAAAAAGUCCUUCACUCUCUUGCAAUAUGGUCUGGAAGACCAGUGACAAUACAGCCCAGCAGCAGGAGGAGAAAAAUCACAUGUCCCAGGUAUGGGUAGAGUUUUGCUAUUAAAAGAAAGUUGCUGAAUCUUUUCUUUGACAGCCAGUCAAUGAAGACUGAGGAUACAAUAAAUCCAACAAUAUGAGAUAAAAGCACUUGCUGAAGAUUGAGACGUCGACUGUACCCAAGUAUCUUCAGAUUUGCUUCUGUUUACUUUUGUUUCACUAAGAAAAACAAAUGGCUCUUGAGUAUCUUUGUCCUUCCCCAGCAAAUACAGACAAAUUAAAAAAAAAUGUGCCAGACAAAGAGCAAAGAAAGAUUUUUAAAUGACUUUUUAAAUAAAAAAUUCAUCUAUCUGUUAAAUACAACUUGUACUUUGGAAAAAUCUAAGUUCUCUGAGGCAAACUGUAAUAAAAUAUCUUAUAGAAUGAUUCUGUCUUAUUUGGUGUGCCAGCACCCACAAAAACAUGGUCUCCACUACAAAAAAGGAUGUUAUUAAAUUACCACAUUGUUUCCCAUUCUGUGAUGAGAAGGUUCUCUAACAGGUAGUUUGUAUAGAGCAGGUUACAAACGAUCGGGUUUUGGAUACACUCUGCCAAGAUGUACGCAGUGUUCUGAGGCUUGGUAUUGAUGUUUAGAAGCAAAUGGAAAGUUCAUAAUUAAGGCAUAAAUCCUAUCAUACUCUUGUUCUCUUUUUUUCUGCCAUAACUGUUUUGCGAGUUUACUUCUAACACAGUAGAGAGGGAUGCAGUAAUAUUUCUGUAUGUAGCUAUACCCCUUCAAAUCUCUAGACAUAAGCAGAAGGGAUCCGAUUUUCAACAGAAAAUCAGUGGAACAAAAACCUUUCAAACAAACAUAGUAAUAUUCUUAAUGGAGUAACUACCAAACAUAUCAACAUUGCACUGCCAGCCAAAUAUAAUAAGGCAUAAUGGGAAAUUCUGAAAAGGCAUUAUCUAUAAUUUCUCGUUUUGGUCUUUUGUUUCAAAAGAAGAAAACAUUAAAAUAUCAAAAACCUUCCAGUGAAGGAUGUUUUGUCAUUUUGAAGUAAUUCAGAUUCUUAAUUUUGGUUUCUUUUUAAUUUCUUAGUUUAACAAAAUCUAUUUAGUGUUUGGUUUACUUAACUUUUUCACAUUAUGUGGGUUUGACUGAUAGAG